GCGCUCGUAGCUCAGUUGGAUAGAGCAACAGCCUUCUAAGCCGUAGGUCGCAGGUUCGAAUCCUGCCGGGCGCACCA
rnacentral:tRNA from 2 species